GACAGAGGGGGCAAGCGUUGCUCGGAAUCACUGGGCGUAAAGGGCGCGUAGGCGGGAUGGCAAGUCGGUCGUGAAAUCCUUCGGCUCAACCGAAGAACGUCGGGCCGAUACUGCCGUUCUUGAGGGAUGCAGAGGAGACUGGAAUUCCCGGUGUAGCGGUGAAAUGUGUAGAGAUCGGGAGGAACACCGGUGGCGAAGGCAGGUCUCGUGGGCCACUACUGACGCUGAGAAGCGAAAGCAUGGGGAGCGAACAGG
rnacentral:rRNA from 1 species